CCAAUAUUAUGCAAGAUACAAAUAAUAACAAAAAUGGAUUGAAGUUCUCUACAUUUUCAACUGACAUAUAAAUUUCUGUCAAGACUAAAAAAUUCUAGAAAGCAUAAGAUCUAAACUGACUUACCAAUAUGUCUAAAAUAUAUCCCAACUAAUUUAUAUUGCCUAUAUAGGUCAUCUUCUUCCAUCAUACCCUACCUUUGGCCAAGUAUGUAUAGAUUCCAAGUGAUUUGAGGUGUACCUCGUCCCCAUUCUAAUACUUUCAUUUCGCACUAAGAGUGCAUCUGGAGGUAGUAGGACAUAAACAAACAAUCCCAAACGUCCUCCUCUCAUUUAUCCUUGAUGUGUGCUAAUUGCACCUUCUGACGGGUGUGGUCAUUUUUAUCUGGUCUAAUCUUGUAUUCUCGGAGGAAAUUUUUUGCCCUGCAUUGUAGACUGUAAUUAUCUUGCUAAGUCUGAAGAUGCAGUUUGGACAAGGCUAGCCGAUAUAGAUUUGAAGUUAUAAAUAACAUGUUGGAUUCAUGAGGUACUAAAUGCAUAUUUUAUCUGGAAAUUCUAGUGCUUUUUUACUGGGGAGAGCUGGGGUAAGUUGCGCUGGACAUUCUAUUUCUUCAUUGCAUAGACUUAACUACUGGCAUAUUUCACAUCUUGUUGUGGAGUUUUUCCCCUCUGUGCAGGAAAAGAUCUUCAUUGGUACACCCACGAUAAGAAAUCCCAGGAAAAGGAUAUGGAGGCAGCAAAAACAGAAAUACGUAGGAUUAAAGAAGAGGAGGAGCAGGCAAUGAGGGAGGAGGCGCUGGGCUUAGCUCCUAAGCGUGCCACACGUCCUCAAGGUACUCGGCUAGAUAAACAUGAGUUUUCUGAACUUGCAGGAUACAGAUGAUAAGAGGAAACAGUCCAGCGAUUCAGAUGACAGGAGGAAACAUUCCUGCGAUUCAGAGGAUAAGAGGAAGCAUACCCGAGAUUCAGAUGACAGGAGGAAGCACAAGAAAGGCAAGGAGAAGAGAAGAAGACAUGAUUCCAAUUGGGAUUAACUUGAAUAAUCCUUGGUACUUAUUGUGUGCUACGGCCAUUUACUUUAACAAUUACGUUCUGGAUAUUUGUGUUGGAUACAAUUAAAUACUUUAACAAAAUGUACCAUGGAACUCUUUUGCCUGCUUUCUUCUGCAAACAGGGAUAGAUUUCAUUAUCUCAUGUCUUGUUUUCCUACUGUUGCCGAAAAUGAAGAGAACACUU
rnacentral:lncRNA from 1 species